CGGGACGGGUGAGUAACGCGUGGGUAACCUGCCCCAUACAGGGGGAUAACAGUUAGAAAUGACUGCUAAUACCGCAUAAGCGCACUGCAUCGCAUGAUGGAGUGUGAAAAACUGAGGUGGUAUGGGAUGGGCCCGCGUCUGAUUAGCCAGUUGGCGGGGUAACGGCCCACCAAAGCGACGAUCAGUAGCCGACCUGAGAGGGUGACCGGCCACAUUGGGACUGAGACACGGCCCAAACUCCUACGGAAGGCAGCAG
rnacentral:rRNA from 1 species